GUUGAAAUACCAGUUCCUGUACGAUCACCAAAGUUAAGCAACAUCGAACCUGGUCAGUACCUAAAUGGGUGACCGCUUAAGAAUACCAGGUCCUGUAAG